rnacentral:rRNA from 2 species
GUUUGGCACCUCGAUGUCGGCUCAUCACAUCCUGGGGCUGAAGUAGGUCCCAAGGGUAUGGCUGUUCGCCAUUUAAAGUGGUACGCGAGCUGGGUUUAGAACGUCGUGAGACAGUUCGGUCCCUAUCUGCCGUGGGCGCUGGAGAACUGAGGGGGGCUGCUCCUAGUACGAGAGGACCGGAGUGGACGCAUCACUGGUGUUCGGGUUGUCAUGCCAAUGGCACUGCCCGGUAGCUAAAUGCGGAAGAGAUAAGUGCUGAAAGCAUCUAAGCACGAAACUUGCCCCGAGAUGAGUUCUCCCUGAGACUUAGAGUCUCCUGAAGGAACGUUGAAGACGACGACGUUGAUAGGCCGGGUGUGUAAGCGCAGCGAUGCGUUGAGCUAACCGGUACUAAUGAACCGUGAGGCUUAACCUUACAACGCCGAAG